rnacentral:rRNA from 1 species
UAGGGAAUCUUCGGCAAUGGGGGGAACCCUGACCGAGCAACGCCGCGUGAGUGAAGAAGGUUUUCGGAUCGUAAAGCUCUGUUGUUAAGGAAGAACGAGUGUGAGAAUGGAAAGUUCAUGCUGUGACGGUACUUAACCAGAAAGGGACGGCUAACUACGUGCCAGCAGCCGCGGUAAUACGUAGGUCCCGAGCGUUGUCCGGAUUUAUUGGGCGUAAAGCGAGCGCAGGCGGUUAGAAAAGUCUGAAGUGAAAGGCAGUGGCUCAACCAUUGUAGGCUUUGGAAACUGUUUAACUUGAGUGCAGAAGGGGAGAGUGGAAUUCCAUGUGUAGCGGUGAAAUGCGUAGAUAUAUGGAGGAAUACCGGUGGCGAAAGCGGCUCUCUGGUCUGUAACUGACGCUGAGGCUCGAAAGCGUGGGGAGCGAACAGG